CCUACGGGUGGCAGCAGUGGGGGAUAUUGCACAAUGGGGGGAACCCUGAUGCAGCGACGCCGCGUGGGUGAAGAAGCGCCUCGGCGCGUAAAGCCCUGUCAGCAGGGAGGAAAAUGACGGUACCUGAAGAAGACGCCCCGGCUAACUACGUGCCAGCAGCCGCGGGAAUACGUAGGGGGCAAGCGUUAUCCGGAUUUACUGGGUGGAAGGGGGGCGCAGGCGGCGAUGCAAGCCAGGAGUGAAGGCCCGGGGCCCACCCCCGGGACUGCUCUUGGAACUGCGUGGCGGGAGUGCAGGAGGGGCAGGCGGAAUUCCUGGUGUAGCGGUGAAAUGCGUAGAUAUCAGGAGGAACACCGGUGGCGAAGGCGGCCUGCUGGACUGCAACUGACGUUGAGGCCCGAAAGCGUGGGGAGCAAACAGGAUUAGAUACCCCAGUAGUC
rnacentral:rRNA from 1 species